rnacentral:rRNA from 1 species
UACGUAGGUGGCAAGCGUUGUCCGGAUUUACUGGGUGUAAAGGGCGUGCAGCCGGAGAGACAAGUCAGAUGUGAAAUCCACGGGCUCAACCCGUGAACUGCAUUUGAAACUGUUUCCCUUGAGUGUCGGAGAGGUAAUCGGAAUUCCUUGUGUAGCGGUGAAAUGCGUAGAUAUAAGGAAGAACACCAGUGGCGGAGGCGGAUUACUGGACGAUAACUGACGGUGAGGCGCGAAAGCGUGGGGAGCAAACAGG